ensembl:lncRNA
CCUUGCCCAGUGUUGCAAGACUAAUAUGAACUUAAAAAUUUUGAGACUUUGGCUCUUUUCUCUGGUCUGCUAAAAGUUUUGAGGUCACUGGGGAGGGACUGAAAGACAAAUGGAUAGGUAUGCUGAUCCUGUAAGCCUGGCUUCCUUUGGAAACUAAGCUAAGAAAUGUAAACUCCUAUUCUCAAAGGUGCUCUAAGUCUGGCGGCUGAUAAUUUUUUUUUUAAAGCAGUGCUACAAGACUUGGGAGUUGGUAACUCUGCAGUAAGCAAUCUAUCCAAAAACCUCAUCCUUUCUUUCCUUUUUUUUUUUUUUUUUUUUUGCUGGAUCACAGGUGUUCAGAGACAUUUCAGCAUUCAGCUGCCAAAACAGUGACAACUUGAAGCUGACCAAGCCUUAACUAUUGAGUCCAGGGCUCACACAACUGAUCCCCUUCGUGCUACCAAGCCCCUGCUCCUUCCCAAAGCUGGGGCAUGGGCAGACUGGUCACCUGGACCUGCUGGCCACUCCCGAUGGGCACCAAGACAUGGAAGCCAAGUGUAAAGCAAUUACUCCUCCUGCAGCAGAUCCAGUCCAUGUCUCAGCCACUGCCAGCAGAAGGACACAGAGGUGGGUGGCCCAGGCCAAGAGAGCAGCCCUUGGAAAAGCUUCCAUCUCAAGCUCUGCCACAGAGCUCCUCUCUCCUGCUCUCAUCUCCAGCUCUUCUCCCUCAGAUUCAGAAGUAAAAAAGCGCUCCAUGUGUUUCAUUUGCAGGGUUCAAGACAGCUUAGUAUUAGCUUAGCUCUGGCUCCUAUUCACAACAGGAACCAUGCUGAACUUCAAGCCCAGAUUCAGUCUCAAGCUUCAUUUCAGAAAUGUUUGGAGUUUGAUUUAGACCUGAAUCUAAUUUGUAACCUCUGUUCGCUUCAUAAGAAAUGUUUGCAUGUCCCUACAGCCUUGAGGCAGCCCACUCCUUCCUGGUGCCUACUGGGAAAUCAAACUCAGACCCAGCCCUUGACAGAGCUUGGGGGAUAACAAAUGGGCUGCUUAUAUGAAACACAAAAAGGAGAAGGAUUUGGAUUCAUGGAAGUCAACAGGCAGAGCAGAGCGUACGUCAGGAGGAUGUCGGUAACGGGAAGAGUUGUCACUGAGCCCCAAAUCGAGAGAGAAAGACUGUUGAAAUAGGUAAUGGAGAGAGCAGCACCUGAUAGCCACUGCAGGGAACUUAUGGAGCCAGCCACAAAGAAGAGGAGGCUCUGGUUAUAUUUUCUUGCAAGAGAUCUGACUUAGACCCAGUGGGACAAGAAGCCAAUUCCACAGGAGAUCUGUGCUUGGGGGCCAAGGCAGAGCUCAUCCUGUGCUCCGAGACAGAUUUAUCCAGAAGCACAAAUUUACACCCAGAUUUGCUACAGCUUUCUUGUUGAUACAAGCCUGAAAGCUCCUUGGACAGCAUAGCAGAGUGGGACCCUUGUCUUUUACUGGGCACCACAGGAUGGUGACAUUAGUGACAAGUCACACUGCUGCCCAUGAUGCUGAUAGCAAGCAACACUGACAGUUCCUGCUUUCUGUGGGGCAGAACAGUUGUUCAUGCCUCCCAGCUUCCAUGGACCACCUCACCCCUGACACCAGACUGCCCUGAUAAGGGGAGCACCCUCACAGAGACUCCUUGAAAUUUGCCUGCAGCUUUUGCAUGCAUCUCUUUCCUCCCACGCUCUUUCCCAGUGAGCACCAGUUUGAAAGCUACUGCCAGCAGCACCUCCCAGAACAUUUAUUUGCUAGUGCACGAACGAGCAUCAGCCAACCACCUGAACUGCCUGGUAAAAAAAAAACAAACUAUGGCUUAUUUUCACCUGCUCCUCCUGCAACCAGAACAAAAUGGGAAAGCAAUUGCUCUGAAAGAUGCAGGCAGUGAGAACAGAUGCUGAGCUGGAAGUGCUAACUCCUCUGUCAAGUUAAUUGUCAGCCUCUUGCAGGUUGGUGCAGCUCAGUUUUGAAAGCUUGUAUAGAAAUCCAAUUAUGUGUUGGCUGAGGAAUUUUUAUUGAUAAAUAACUUACCAGAGCAACACAAGGGAGGGCGGUGAAUGGGUGUUACUCCUACAGAAAAAGGCAAAAAAAGUCUUAAAGUUGUGAUGGAUUUUUAGUCUCUCGAAACUACUCCCAUGUGAGUUUCACUAGUAAACCCUGCCCUGGCAAGCAGCCAUCAGGAAUAAAAGCUGACCUGAGAACA